UACCCGCAGCCCGAGUGGUGCUCGUUAUUAUUGGGCCUAAAACGUCCGUAGCCGGCCUUGUAAAUCCAUGUGGAAAUCGGAGGGCUCAACCCUCCGAAGGGCGUGGACACUGCAAGGCUUGGGACUGGGUGAGUUCGGAGGUACUUCCGGGGUAGGGGUGAAAUCCUGUAAUCCUGGAAGGACCACCAGUGGCGAAGGCGUCCGAAUAGAACGGAUCCGACGGUCAGGGACGAAGCCCUGGGGCGCAAACGGG
rnacentral:rRNA from 1 species